ACAACUUUCAACAAUGGAUCUCUUGGCUCUCGCAUCGAUGAAGAACACAGCGAAAUGUGAUAAGUAAUGUGAAUUGCAGAAUCCAGUGAAUCAUCGAAUCUUUGAACGCAUCUUGCGCUCCUUGGCAUUCCGAGGAGCAUGCCUGUUUGAGUGUCGUUGAA
rnacentral:rRNA from 1 species